rnacentral:rRNA from 1 species
AAUUUUGGACAAUGGGGGAAACCCUGAUCCAGCCAUCCCGCGUGUAUGAUGAAGGCCUUCGGGUUGUAAAGUACUUUUGCCAGAGAAGAAAAGGUAUCUCCUAAUACGAGAUACUGCUGACGGUCUCUGCAGAAUAAGCACCGGCCAACUACGUGCCCGCAGCCGCGGUAAUACGUAGGGUGCAAGCGUUAAUCGGAAUUACUGGGCGUAAAGCGUGUGUAGGCGGUUCGGAAAGAAGGAUGUGAAAUCCCGGGGCUUAACCUCGGAACUGCAUUCUUAACUGCCGAGCUAGAGUAUGUCAGAGGGGGGUAGAAUUCCACGUGUAGCAGUGAAAUGCGUAGAUAUGUGGAGAAAUACCGAUGGCGAAGGCAGCCCCCUGGGAUAAUACUGACGCUCAGACACGAAAGCGUGGGGAGCAAACAG